rnacentral:lncRNA from 1 species
GUCGCCCAGUAUUGCCCAGGGUCUAUCAGGUGCCGACACGUGCUUAGAGGAGAAGCAAUUUCUUCACAAAGGGGCGUAAAGCAAAAGGAGGGACAGCAGGGCGACAAAGGAUUGGAGAGGGAGCGGAAGGAGAAUGGGAGUACAGCUAAUUUAGCGACAGAACAGAGAGAAAACGCUAUCAGAAAUCCAGGCAGUUAUUGGGGGGGGGGGGNAGACGCCUCCCUAAAGCCGCAGACGACACGAGGACGGAGUGGAAGCGCACGAUCCGGAAAGUGGGUGAGGCUGCAAAGGAGAACUGCAUUCAGCAAGGUCGUCUCGGGUCAAGCAGUGGCGCGAUGGCGUGGCGCCUGCGCACUAGAAAGCAGCAGGGGAAGCUGGGUGAAAAUAAUGNAGAAAAUCAGAUGCAUACACAUAGAUGCCUAGUGAACUGCGAUACAAGGAGGUAGCUGUGAUUGCUCAGACAGUCCAAGAUAUUUUCUGUUUUGCCCUGCUGUUGUCCAAAGGAGGAGUGAACUGGGUAUGCUAUCUAGAUAGAGGAACAUAGUUAUUCCUUUAGUGAAGNAUCUACCAUCAACGCUACCAGUACUCAUUGUUGAAGUCAGUUCAAAGUGUUGCUACCUUUUGCUGUAACUGGGCUUUGCUCUGGAUGAAAUCAAAGAAGAAAUCUCCUAAAAAUGGAAGAAUUCCGUCACUGCAUAAAUGUUUGUUCAAAUCAUGACAGAGAGGUAAAAAUCUUAGAGUAUAUAAAUAAUUGUACACUGGAACAGUUGACUGUGGAACUGAGUAGGGAAUACCUGGACUUCAAUUGAAGUUAACACUCAGGACUUAAGUUGGAGAAAUGUAGUUCAAUUAAUGGGAACUGUGACCACAGUGACAUAAAAUUCAGUGUAUGUAAAAGUAGAAAAUUGCAAAGCGGAUCAAAUACAGUCCUACUGGACAUAAAAAAAAGAGAGAACUUCUCAAAACUGAGAAGGAUUGGUGAAAAGAGAGCUGUGAAAAAAACCACUUCAGUCAGUGCUGGAAUAGGCAUUUUUGCUUAACAAGAUCCACAUUCUUUAAACAAUUAAUAUAAUGCAACCAACCUCCCCACACACACUUCCUAAUGUUUUUAUGGUUAAUGGAUUAAAACAAACACUACAUGAGAAAAUGUCCCUGUUACAUUUAAGUGUUACAGGAUUAAAACUUUUUAAUUAUAAUUACCACUGUUAGCCACCAGAGGUCAAUGUCUUCCCACAGNAUAGAAGCUAUGCUGAUUUUCCCAGUGCACCACUUCUUCUAUACUGUGGUCCCAGAUCAGAAGUCUCUUUAAACCAUCACUAAAACAAUUUUUAAACAUUUAAAAUCACCCUUUCAAAAACUC